rnacentral:rRNA from 1 species
UACGUAGGGUGCAAGCGUUAAUCGGAAUUACUGGGCGUAAAGCGUGCGCAGGCGGUUUGGUAAGACAGAUGUGAAAUCCCCGGGCUUAACCUGGGAACUGCAUUUGUGACUGCCCGGCUAGAGUGUGUCAGAGGGGGGUAGAAUUCCACGUGUAGCAGUGAAAUGCGUAGAUAUGUGGAGGAAUACCGAUGGCGAAGGCAGCCCCCUGGGAUAACACUGGCGCUCAUGCACGAAAGCGUGGGGAGCAAACAGG